rnacentral:misc_RNA from 1 species
CCACAGCUUCGCAUCAUGGCGUGGCUCCAGCUCCUGCUUACGCUCUGCCUGGCCGCCGGCCUACAGGCGGCCCCCGAGCGACCGGAGGGUGGCUUCUCAUGCCCCCGCCCCCAGGGCCUCUUCGCGCACCCCUACGACUGUCACAAGUUCCUGCACUGCGACCAUGACCAUCCGUAUGUCAAGGACUGCCCGGCCGACCUGCACUUCAACCCCAAGAUCAUGGUGUGUGAUUGGCCGGAGCAGGCGGGCUGCCGUCCGGGCGCGCCCACCGACCCGCCCACGCCCGACGUGUCGCCUGAGCCCGGCAUGGAGUGCGACUGCGAGUGCUGCCUGAAGCCCAACGGCGACGACUGCACCACCUUCUACCUGUGCAAGGAUGGCAAGGCCUACCUGGAGACUUGCGCCACCGGCCUGGUGUUCAACCCCAACACCCAGAACUGUGAUCUGCCCAGCAACUACGACUGUGGUGGUCCCGAGCCGACGCCCAGUCCGUUUGAUUGUCCCACCGACGGACUGUUCCCCAAUCCGGCCGACUGCCACACCUUCUUCCACUGCUCCAAUGGAAUCUCGUACAAGAAGAACUGUCCCGCUAACCUCGACUUUGACGCGCGGACAAAGCGGUGCGAGUGGCCAAACCAGGCCGGCUGCCGGUACCCAGCCUCGACCACUAAGAAGCCUCCCGAACCCACUACGCGCUCCACCACUACAACCAAACGGCCGGACUUCGACUGUCCCACCGGAAACGGGCUCUUCCCCAAUCCGGAGGACUGUCAUACGUUCUUCCAUUGUUCCAAUGGAAUCCCGUACAAGAAGGACUGUCCAGCUAACCUCGACUUCGACGCCAAGACGAAACGGUGCGAGUGGCCAGACCAGGCCGGCUGCCGGUACCCAGCCUCGACCACUAAGAAGCCGCCCGAACCCACCACGCGCUCCACCACUACAACCAAACGGCCGGACUUCGACUGCCCCACCGCAGACGGGCUGUUCCCCAACCCGAAGGACUGCCAUACGUUCUUCCAGUGUUCGAACGGAAUUCCCUACCUAAUGGACUGUCCGGCCAACCUCGAAUUCAACCCGGUCCUCCUCGUCUGCGAUUGGCCAGAGCAUGCCGGCUGCUCGAAUAAGACCACACCCACUACGCCCGCAGUGUCCCCCACCACACCCCGCACGCCCGCUACCACUCCCAAACAUCCAGGCUUCGACUGCCCCACCAGCAAUGGGCUGUUCCCCAACCCGAAGGACUGUCACUCGUUCUACCACUGCUCGAACGGGCACCCUUACCUGAAGUACUGUCCCGCUAACCUUGAGUUCAACCCGGUGCUCCUGGUGUGCGACUGGCCCGAUCACGCUGGUUGCGGCGACCACCCGCAGCCCACGCCCGACUACCCGGUCACCACGCCGGUGCCCGACGACGACAUCGUCUGCCCGAACAAGAGCUGCGUGUGCAGGCUUCCGGAUAAGAAGGACUGCAGCGGCUUCUACCAGUGUCGGGACGGCAAGGCGUACCACAAAAGCUGUCCGACCGGCCUAGUCUUCAACCCCGACACGGAAGUGUGCGAUCUGCCCGCCAAUGUGGACUGCGGCGCCCCCACUACUGCCAAACCGCCGCCACCUACCACCACCCGCACACCUGCCACCACUCCCAAACAUCCAGGCUUCGACUGCCCCACCAGCAACGGGCUGUUCCCCAACCCGGAGGACUGUCACUCGUUCUACCACUGCUCGAACGGGCACCCUUACCUGAAGUACUGUCCCGCUAACCUUGAGUUCAACCCAGUGCUCCUGGUGUGCGACUGGCCCGAUCACGCUGGUUGCGGCGACCACCCGCAGCCCACGCCCGAUUACCCGGUCACCACGCCGGUGCCCGACGACGACAUCGUCUGCCCGAACAAGAGCUGCGUGUGCAGGCUGCCGGACAAGGACGACUGCAGCGGCUUCUAUCAGUGUCGUGACGGCAAGGCCUACCACAAAAGCUGUCCGACCGGCCUGGUCUUUAACCCCGACACGGAAGUGUGCGAUCUGCCCGCCAAUGUGGACUGCGGCGCCCACACUACUGCCAAACCGCCACCACCUACCACCACCGCCCGAGUCACCACUCCCACCCCGAAAACGACCACCACCCCUGCCACUACCACGCAAAAAACGACCACAGCCUCUACCACCACUACCCAGAAAACGACCACCACCCCUGCAAUUACUACACCUGCUACUACUACCAAGCAAACGACAACCGCCCCCACCACCACCACCACCACGGCAGCGCCCACUUCCCCGCCGCCACCGUCUCCGUGUACGUUCCCCUGCUCCAAGAGCGACGGUACCUACGCCAAUCCGCUGAACUGCGGCACCUACUUCCACUGCUCGGACGGCGAGGCCAGCAUCGAGUACUGUCCGGCCGGCACGCACUUCAACACGGGCACGAACGCGUGCGACGCGCCCGAGACCGCCGGCUGUUGCGACCUGUAACCCCCCUCCCCAUCCCGCCCCUCACCCGUCCCACGCCUCCCCGACGCACCGCACCGGACCACGACCACUCAUGGCUGCCGCGCUCAGCUCGGUAGCUUGUUUUUCCCCCACGGCAGACACCAAUCGUCACGUGUCGCCGCUGUCACUGCACACAUUGUAUAGUCACCUUCCUUGUAGUGUAAUCCGCACACAGCACCGCACAUACCUUUCACGCAUCCGCCGCCCGAUCAGCACCCGCCUCUCCCGCUCGAGACAUGCUGCAUGCUGACAAUGGCCGAUCGAAGUAGAGUACCUGAUCCCAAAGACUGCCACAAAUUCUACCAAUGCAAGAACGGCAAGGCCUACCCGGUGAGCUGUCCCACAGGCCUCGUCUU